GGAAGAUCACACUCACUGGAUCUCACCUGGAGUUUGUGGAGGGGGUCAUUCACAGCCGAGCCCCUCAGGAAGUCCAACCUCCGACUGACAGGAACCAUCAGAAUCUCACCUUCAAGUCACCUGCAGCUACAAAUCCCUCCAGAGUUUCCAGCAGUUCUCUUCUGUUGAAAGUCGCCAAUGAAACCUUGAUCUGCUCCACAAACCUGAUCUACCAUCCAGACCCAGAGUUCACCAGCUUCACAUCCACACAGAGGGGUGACCACGUCCAGAUCACCAUACAGAGAAAAGCAGACAAACUGGAGAUAACACCAGCGGAGUUGUCAGUAUGGGGGGAGCAGGAGGAGAAACGAUACCCCUGCAUCAUGGAAGACAAAGACCCCGGUGAAGAGUUCAACUUUUACUCCUGUGAGAUUCAGA